rnacentral:lncRNA from 1 species
CCUUUUUGAGUGAAAUCUCGAGUGAUGACAAAUGACAUUAGAGCAAACUCGGCCCAUCGGAGCAGUUAGCCUGAUGAGGAUGUUAAGACUUGAACAGAAGAGUACCUUCCGACUAGUUAAUGGCACUAAGUAUUUCUCAAACUUUAUAAAAGAAUAAAGAAUUACAAAUGAGUGAGAAUUACAUAAUAGUGGGGUUUCAAGGAAGUGGAGAAAUGAUUAUGAGUGAGGAUUACAUAUAGAGGUAAUCCGGGAUCACAGCGGAGGGAUAUGGCGUAACAGAAUAAGAUGUCUUCUCAGCGGGUACCAUCACACGACAAACCAAAGUCUGAGACAAUGGAGAAUUGGAAUCAGGAUCACCUCUUGAGAAGUUUGCCGGCCAAUUUAGCUAAAAUGGUAGACUCACGGUCAUCCAUGUCCGUCCGAGUUCGUUGGCUAAUCUAGAGCUUAUUUGGAAGCAUGGAAUAAACGCCUUAUAAGCAGAAAGUGAGGGAACGAGCAGCACCGUAGGAGAGGAAUCUCAAAUGAUUGGAGAAGUAUUCCAAGAAUGAUUGGAAAACAAGAACCGCAUUUCUUUUAGAAAAUAAUUAAUCUUAUAGAAACUGCUAUUAAUCAAAAUUUAUCAUUAAUAUUCUCUCCCCCGUCCAAACCAGGCCUAAGUUCACUAUAUAAUGUAAAAGGUUUCAAGAACACACCGUUUUUAAAGAUGUUCUUUUGUUUGUGUUAUUGAUCAAUUAAACAUUAUCUAGACUUACACAGAGAUAGAUAAAUAGAACCGGCAACUAUUAAAAGGGUUUUACCAGUGACCAUCUCAUAAAGUGCUCAUGAAAGUCCUAUCCUUUCAAUACUUGCAUGACAACAAUUAUUCCUUUUCAAGCCACCACUCUUUAUAAAACAAAACCCUAUGUUCAAGAAUUGAGCCAUGAGCUCGACGUUAAAUGAAUAAAAAUACAAGAAUGACUUGGCAGGGAAAAAUAGGUCCGAAAAGGUCGAUUUGGCCCGAGCAAGAAAUCAAAACCAAAUGCAAACAAAUUGAUCGAGUUCGUUCAGUUUGGAACGCCCAACCUAGAUCUACUUCUAUUUUAAUUUGGGUCCAAACUUUACAUUCUACCCGGCANNNNNNNNNNNNNNNNNNNNNNNNNNNNNNNNNNNNNNNNNNNNNNNNNNNNNNNNNNNNNNNNNNNNNNNNNNNNNNNNNNNNNNNNNNNNNNNNNNNNNNNNNNNNNNNNAUUACUCCCGCAUCUGCCUAGGUAAAAACGUAUCCUUGGAGUCGUAUAACAGAGAAUAUCCUAUCAUAUUGACUAAGGUAAGGUGGAGUUUGUAUAAAUACCAUGUGCAUGUUCCAGGUCCAACUUAUAUAAUGCGAAAUUUUUGAGAUAGCAAUAACUUUAGGUUUAGAGUUGCUUGCACCUGAUCCAAACCUCACGAGCCUAAACGUCAUUUCAGCAUAAAAUAAAAUUCCACUCUUAAUAUUAUGGAAAGAUGCCUGCAGGAGGGUGUUUGGCAAAACAGCAAAGAGCGCACUUCCCAACACUCGAAUGGCAAACAUGGACGAGGUCGAUGCAGGUAGGGGAGGAGAACAGACUCGAGUCGUAUCUUUUCAGAGACAAAAGGAUUCGCCUUCCUUUGCGCGAAUCCACCCUAGGAUUAUCCACUCCUUGCUUUUAGAUUUGUGCAGACGGAUGGAUGAUGGAGAUUGGGGCGCUUUGGGAUCUGUACUGUGGGUGAUCCUGCAGUGAACUCGCAUGAAGGAAGGUGAAUCCUUUCUUUCGUGCGAAAGAUGCAACCUGAGUCGGACAAAAAUUGGGAGGUGAAGACCGCACUGGUGGGCAGAAGGUUGGCGAGAUUAGCGGUGCACUCUCCUAUGUAUUGUUUACUUUCUUAUGAUUUGGCAGGUUGUACCCACGUUAGAGUGAUUUGGCAGGGUAAUUAAUCACCGGUACAUUUAUUGACUGGUGUGUAUGGCCUCGGGCCCAUGCUUGUUUGAGUGUGCUCCUUCCAGCAUUUCUUCCAUGUGAAGCACAAACUAAAGGAAGAUUUAUCUAGUGGUUGGGGAAUAAUUCCUAUAUUUUUCGUACUACAAGAUUCUUAAAGCAUCCACUAAUGGAGUAGUUUGCAGCGAUUUCAUAUAAAAAUAAAAAGGACAAGCUCUUAUACGUAAAUACAAAAUAUGUCAGGGAUGAAGAUGCAAAAAAAUAAUAAUUUUAUAUUUUUGACAAUAUCAUGCAGGGACAAUCACUAUAAACCAUCGCAAGAAGCCUUAGAUACUUUAAGUUUUUUUUUUUUAAUUUGAAUAUUAUUAGAUAACAUUAUGAUACCUUGACGAUAUUAAAUCACAUCUGUUAUUUCAAGUUUUUAUAUGUCUAUGGUCUAUCUGAGACAGUCUCUUGGCUUGGCUCAAAAAAAUUCAGCCCUCCUAUAAUCAGAAUAGGGGUUAUGUCAUGUAUGAAACUUUUUUUUAUAGUAGAGCAGGACCUUUUAUCACGCGGAUAAUUCAGAUUAAUAUUUUGGGAUAGAUCUUAUCCACCUUUUUCAGCUCUUCAAAAAUUCGUAAUGAUCGAAGUUUUUCUAUUUGGAACCUUGUAAAGGUAGUCAGAGAAAAUUAUUGUAAAGUUUGUUAUGGCACCUUGUUUAAAAAAGAGCAGUUUUAUUUUUUGAUCUUUAUAUCUUCUUAAUAAUUUUGAGAAUCUUUCACUUACAAGGAUUUAAAGAUUGUGCGGAUGAACAUUAUGAAAUGACCACGUAAAAGGCAUGCCACCAUCCACUUCCCUGUGCCAGUCAAUGCGAGCGAGGUUUGUUUAUGUGAGGAAAAUGGAAGGCGGCAUUUCUCAUCCGUAUAAUAGCUUCAGAUCUUAUUUGGUGUGCUCUAGAUAUUUAAAAUAUUAUGGGGAUUGUUUAGAGCUCUCAGGUAUGGAAUGAUGUGGCGGCAUUAUUUGUGUGUCUAAGCUGAUUAACGUACGUAUUUGCAAAGUUCCUCUUUAGAGAUGGUCAUUGAAUGACUUUGUAAAUCCAAUUCUUUCGUUGGAUGCUGUGUUAUAGUUAGUGGAAUAAGUGGUUGAUGGUCUUUCUUAUUACUGCUUCAGGUCACUGACAUCUCCUGCUAUGAACUCGACAUAUUGGCAUGACGUGCUCAGCAAUAUAUAGAAUGCAACCCAAAUGGCAGAGAAUAACACGCAGAGAGGGAAGGAAUUAUUCCACUCAAUAUCUUUGUCGUGUUUCUUACCAAAAGAUGAUAUUCCUCCUCAGUUAUCUCUCCCCAUAAGCAAUGAUCGAUGUUUAUUAAUUUAUUUUUUUGAAGUAUAUCAAUUAUGAACACUUCAAAGGAACACGACCAUCACUGUCUAUAUCUACCCAAUUAUAACAAGAAGCACAUCACUAUUUUCGGUAGAGCAUUCGAGGACGAUUUCCAUAUACACAAGAAAAGAAUGCGUCGAAGGCAACUUGCUUGUUGCCGCAAGAAACCACUGUUUCUUAUCUCUUGCGGUAUCAACGGAGCUGCCAAAGUAUUAAAUUCAACUCUUUAUCUUAUGAAAAAAGUAAAAUACUGCCAAUCCCAUUUACUGUUUCAACAUGAAGACCAUAUAUAUUGACUGUUUCAGUAGAACUACACGGGGAGCAAGCAUCCACGCACGCAGAUUGAAGCAUCAACGAGGGGAAACUGGGAAGCCAAUUCCAUGGCGAGUCGUAGGGAAAGUAACAAACACUGCACUGCCAAACACUCCGAUCGCAACCGGCAAUGCAGUGAGCACCUGCUCCAUAUCCUCCGACGGGACAGGGUAGAAGCACGACACUACGUUCUUAUCAAACAAGGCCACCGCCGCGAAGAUCAACACCGACAUGAAAGCAUGGACAAAGUCUACGAACUUUACGCUGUAGUUGGCCGCUAUCUCUGGAGGGAGAGGCUUAGCGCCGUCGAUGAUCCACAUGCCCCCGAAGGUGGCGAGUCCAUACCUUAUUUUCCCGGUCUUGUCCUGGAAACUGUCGGUGAAGCUUAGGACGAAGCAUGACAGCCCGCAGAGGACCACGAGGCACGCGGUCAUGGUUCGGUUCGCAUCGGUGCAGCGGCCUAAGUUGGUGAGGAUGGGGGACAGGACUUGGAAGGCGAGGACCGUGCCGGUUGGGAGGAGGUUGGCGAGAUGGGCGACGCUCUUAAAAGUCUGGCUUAUGGCCUGCUGCACCAUGGUCAUCCUGUCCUCAUCCGAUGGCUUGGAAGCCAGGAGAGGCUGCUGCUCUUCUUCAUGAUGAUGGGCUUCCAUAUCUUCCAUCUUUGUCCCGACAGCACCGGUCUCUUCUUUCUGUUUCUUCCCUGUACCUCCUUCUCAAACUGGGAGGUGAUCACGACGAUCAAAUGGUAGGUUGGUGAGUUUAUAGAGAAGGGAUUCGUGGGAGUCGAAGCGAGGAGGGGGUGAAGGAAUAGCUUGCAAGGAACAUCACUAGAAUUGCGGAGGGGGUUUUGCUUUAUUUUUUAUUUGUGAAGGACAAGUCAUCGACAAAAGGAAAGACCCAACUUCGAAGACGGCGUCUUUGGUUUUCUUUUCUUAGACGGCGGCUCUCGUGGCCGUUAUGUAACAGAGUUUCAUAAAAAAAAGCCGGAAGCGACGGCAGCCAAGCUUAUUGGAUGUUCGCGUCCACGCUUGGGCUUUUUUUUCGCUGGAUUAGAGACGGCAGCCGAGUUUGGUACUUCGAUCGUUUAACAUGGUGUGUGGUGCUGUAUUAGAGGAGGGGGUUUUCCUGGAUGUUAAGCGUGUAGGUGCGGCUCCCGGACACCGGGAUCAUAGUAUCCUGGUUACGGGAAACCUGCUGCAAAAGCAUUGUGGUAUCAAAAGAUAAAUGGAAACUAGUGCCUCAAUAUUAUCCCUAUGAAAAUAUGUACAGACGUGUAUUUAAUCUUAUAUUGGUUAUUGGCUGGAUAAAUUUUGGAUAUUUAUACAAGAUCAAAAAAUAUUGGAUACAUUUUAGCUAGCCAUUUUGGGCGAGGUCUUGUGUUAUUACAAAUGAUAUCAGAGUAGACCCGGUCAAUAACUUAUGUGGACUAGAGAACACUGUAGCACGGAUCCAUUGGGCCUGAUCACGGGCCGAUUGUGGUGCUUAUGAUUAGAUUUACAUGGAUUUGAACCCUUAACCUGACGAGGACGUUAGAACUUAGACGGUAGGAGUAUGUGAGAAUCAAUGCAGGCGUGUAUUUAGUCUCACAUCGGUUAUUAGCUGGGUAGAUUUUUGGUAUUUAUAUAAGAUCGAAAAAUCCAAACAAUACUUUCCGGCUAGCUAUUUUCGAGAUACUUCCUGAAAUCUAGCUUUUUGGUAUAUAUUAGCUGGGUUAUUACAAUUUGUAUAAAAAAUUUUCGAGAUACUUCCUAAAANNNNNNNNNNNNNNNNNNNNNNNNNNNAGAUGGGUGGUUGCAUAGUAUAUACAUACACGUAUGAUCUUAAAUUGUACAACAGUAUGUGGAGCACGCAUAUCAGUCUUUGAUGUAUGCAUUUUCCUCUUUUGUCUACAGACCGGUUCGUCAUUUGACUUGACUUGCAAAAACAAACAUGAUAUUGAGAUCGAUUCCAUGCGCUCCACUGUGGUGUUGAAGAGUUCUCUUAGCUGUUUCUGGUCAUGUUUGCUUCCAUUUAAAUUGGAAGCAUUUCUGUAAAGCUAAGUAGUCAAUGACUAGAAGUCUAGAACUAGCAUGUCCCCCGGAAGAGCGGGCACAAUUUCAUUUGUUAAUGGGCCAACAGACCAGGAUCUGGCCAUUAAAUUUUGGGUCUUGGCCUUGAUAUGUGGCAUGCAAAAAAAAAAACGUUGCUUUCUGCAGAACUCUAAUUUGACUAAUAUUUAUCAUUUAUAAACAUAUAAUCCAAUAUUCCAAAUACUCGUGAAAUGGAUGAUGAAUUAGCCCCAUCUUUUUUCUCAGAAGAAGGAAAAAAGAAAUUAAAAGAAACAAAGUUGGGCCAGGUCGUCCUGGCUUAUGGGCUUCAUCACAGCUGUUCCAAGUUCCGUUCUAUAAAAUUUAGGCCCUCGUACGUCCCAACUCAUUCUUUUCAGAACCCAGCCCACAUAAGCUGCAUGCAGCGUCCAACAAGCUGUGGGUUAGUCUGCUCGGUGGAAUAAGUCCUGGCUAGGACGAUCUAGAAGCAUGCAUGCGAGGUGGUUUACAGGAUGACCAAGGCUUGGCUAGUCUAGUUUAAACCCGGAUGAAUGGAGGGGCGACAUGAACUCUGGUGUUUAAUUUAGUAGAGAAAAGAGGAGGUUCAUUUGGCGCAGCUGUAGUAGCCUCAUAGGCUAAAAGAUCGAACCUUUUUUUCGAACUUUGACUCAAAUUGGAUAAGUGGAAGAGGCUAUGGCUGCUGAGCAUGGCUUGGGAUCAGGAUGUAAGGUUCUGCGUGGCAAAGCCAGUGGAGCAUUUAACAUCAAAUUGAUUAAAUGUUGAAGCAUACACUGCAAAUGUUACGUCUAGCAACCUAGCAAUGAUUUUUGGAAAGCAUGCAACACCAAGCCAACGGUCUCCAGUUUUGAAUCAUUUUGCAAGGCUUUUGAUUGUGAGAUUUUGAGCACGAUAUAAAUGUCGUCAAUGGUAAGAGAUUAAACAUCUGCAAACAAGUAAAGGGAAAUGGACCAAAUGCCUUGUGAAGGAACAAAAGUUUAGAAUGAUGAGGAACAUUGUUGCUGGGGCCUAUGAGUGCGCUACGAGUAGAAGCUCCAGGAGUAGGAUAUCGUCGAACACAGAAUUCCAAGCGACUUUAUUGGUUUGGAGCACUGUCCAUACCAAAAAAGUUUCUGAGACGUGUGUCACAAUUUUAGACUACUUGGAACAUUGUGAACCACGAGAAGCAUCCAAAGAGGACUAGUGGUUUUCAGGAAAAAAAAAAAAAAAGAAGACUAGUGGUUGCAGAAUAAUCUAUAUUUUUCCUCAAUCCAUAAAAUCUUUUAGCUUGCAAAUGAGAUUCCAAACACCUUGCAUGAGUGACUCUUCAUAAUAGCAAGCAAUGUUUUUGAGUGCAGACCAGCUAUUUUUUUCGAUUGAGAUCAUACAUAGUUAUUAUGAGGACUCAUACGAGCGUAUGUUUGGUUCCACAUUGAUUAUUCAUCGAGGAAAUCUUGAGUUUUUACAUGGAACUAAAGAACUCAAAAAAUAUGCUGGUUAGUCUUUUUGAGUGAGAUCUUGUGUUAUGACAAAUAACAUCAGAGCAAACUCGGCCUAUCAGAGCAGUUAGCCUGAUGAGGAUGUUAGAACUUGAACAGAGAAGUACCUUCCGACUAGUUAUCCCUAAACUGGCACUAAGUAUUUCUCAAACUUUAUUAAAAGAAUAAAGAAUUACAAAUGAGUGAGAAUUACAUAAGAGUCGGGUUUCAAGGAGGUGGAGAAAUGGUUACAAGUGAGUGAGGACUACAUAUAGAGGUAGUCGGGGAUCACAGUGGAGGGAUAUGGCGUAACAGAAUGAGAGGCCUUCUCAGCAGGUACCAUCACACGUCAAACCAAAGUCUGAGACAAUGGAGGAAUUGGAAUCAAGAUCACCUCUUGAGAAGUUUGCCGGCCAAUUUAGCAAAAAUGGUAGGCUCACGGUCAUCCAUGUCCGUCCGAGUUUAUUGGAUAUCUAGAGCUUAUUUGGAAGCAUGGAAUAAACGCCUUAUAAGCAGAAAGUGAGGGAAGGGGUAGCACCGCAGCAGAGGAAUGUCAAAUGAUUGGAGAAGUAUUGCAAGAAUGAUUGGAAAACAAGAACCGCAUUUCUUUUAGAAAAUAAUUAAUCUUAUAGAAACUGCUAUUAAUCAAAAUUUAUCAUUAAUAUUCUCUCCCCCGUCCAAACCAGGCCUAAGUUCACUAUAUAAUGUAAAAGGUUUCAAGAACACACCGUUUUUAAAGAUGUUCUUUUGUUUGUGUUAUUGAUCAAUUAAACAUUAUCUAGACUUACACAGAGAUAGAUAAAUAGAACCGGCAACUAUUAAAAGGGUUUUACCAGUGACCAUCUCAUAAAGUGCUCAUGAAAGUCCUAUCCUUUCAAUACUUGCAUGACAACAAUUAUUCCUUUUCAAGCCACCACUCUUUAUAAAACAAAACCCUAUGUUCAAGAAUUGAGCCAUGAGCUCGACGUUAAAUGAAUAAAAAUACAAGAAUGACUUGGCAGGGAAAAAUAGGUCCGAAAAGGUCGAUUUGGCCCGAGCAAGAAAUCAAAACCAAAUGCAAACAAAUUGAUCGAGUUCGUUCAGUUUGGAACGCCCAACCUAGAUCUACUUCUAUUUUAAUUUGGGUCCAAACUUUACAUUCUACCCGGCA